rnacentral:rRNA from 1 species
GACGUAGGGCGCGAGCGUUGUCCGGAUUUAUUGGGCGUAAAGAGCUCGUAGGCGGCUGUUCAAGUCGAACGUGAAAACUCGGAGCUCAACUCCGAGCCUGCGUUCGAGACUGGAUGGCUAGAGUCUGGUAGGGGGGAUCUGGAAUUCCUGGUGUAGCGGUGGAAUGCGCAGAUAUCAGGAGGAACACCGGUGGCGAAGGCGGGAUCCUGGGCCAGUACUGACGCUGAGGAGCGAAAGCGUGGGGAGCAAACAGG